CAAAAAAAUCCUUCUUUGACUAAAUCAAAGAAUCCAAAGAUGACAUUGCAACGAUUUGCAAAUCGAAGCCGAAAAUUAAUGUCCCCCACUCAAUUCAAACAUCACCUAGAAAAAUCGUCUCUUUGAAUUUAUCAACCACAGCCUACGACAAUGAAUUUCUCUCUGAUUCAAUUCCCAACACCAAACUCAGACCCCAAGGAUCCAUUCACUUUUUGUUUUCUGAUUCGAUUCAUUUUGUUUGGAUCCAUUCACUUUUGGUUUUUCUGCCUAAUGAUUGACCUUCUUUCUUUCCUUACUCAUUCAAACCCAAAUUCAAUCCGCCCAUGAUGAUCGAUAGACUGAAUCGUCGUAGUCGAUUGGUCCCCUAGAGUGGAUUCAGAGGUGCACUUGUAACUGUGACUCAGGCACUUAUACGAAUCCUUAUCCGGGUCUCCCAAAAAACCAUCCAACGAUUAAGAAUAUGAAGACCCAGAUCUGAUUCCCGACUCCCACCAUUCCAGUUCUGUCGUCGGUGGUGGUGUAUGGAGCUUUGGCGGUUUAAUCCAAACUAUAGCGACUAAAUUUGAAUCUGUCAUUGAAAUCUACUGGCGGGAUUUCCCUUUCACCUCGUUGCUCAGGUUUCCCUCAGCCUCCCACUUCUCAACUCGGCGGUGGCGGCGGCGACAUCUCCUCCACUAGCAGACAUGAAGAGGAAUUGAGUUGGGAUGUUGAUGACAAUGACUAAGAAGAUGAUGUUGUGUUGAAAAAGAUUGCCAAGAAAAAUGGGGAAUCGGGUAGUGAAGAUGGUGUAGUAGUAGCAAAGGAAGUGCAAAAUGACUCCUCAAAUGCUUCCUUGAUGGAAUAGAAAGUUCCUUUGAUACUAAUAAGAAUGUUGAGAAAACUUAUAAUGUGAAUGAGGGAAAGAGUAGUGAGGGAGAGUAAACAGAGUGUGCAUUUGGAAGAAGAUGUUGUUGAUUCUGAAGCAAGUAAUAAAAAAUUAGAUGUAUCCAAAGCUGAUGAUAAAGUAGCUUUGAAAGGGAUGAUUGAAUUUGGUGAAUCGAACAAAGAUAAUGAUGUUACAGUUGUUUCAACUCAGCCCUCAAUGCCAGAGGAGGAAGAUCUUGGUUGGGAUGAGAUUGAUGAUCUUAAAACUAUUGAAGAUAAGAAAAUUACUCUUCUUAGGAGGCCUAAUAGAGCAGAGCUGUGAAAGCGGCUUAAGAAGAUGAUGUGGACUUGAGCUGGGAUAUUGAAGAUGGUGAUGAUGAACCAAGUAAAGCUCCAAACUAGAACUUCAGUUAGUUAAUAAUUGUACUGCUUUCAUAUUUUCCUCCGUAGAGGAUUUCUUUUCUUUUUCCUUUUUUUUUUUUCAAUAUCUUCUCCCCUAUUUUUUUUUUCUGUGAUGUUUUAAAUGCAAAUAUGUUUACGUCAUGUAAAAUUAAUUUGUAAGGUUUGAAAGUAACUCUAUCAUAGUCAUGUAAUGUCAUUUAAUUUUGCUACAUUUAUAUGGGGUUCCCGCUCUUUGCCAAAGACUGAUGGCAGUUGAUAUUAUUCAAAUCAUUCAAUUACAUUAAGGUAGCAUUUUAUAUUUAUAGGACCCAUUUAUGUUUGUAUGACUCUUAUUUGUAAUUGAUCAUUGUUUCUCAUGUUA